ACUGAUAUUCUCUUUCAUAUUGUCAAACCACCUUUUCUGAGGGUAUUAACAGCAUCUAAUACUUCCAUACAUGCAACGCCAUCUCAAGAGACCUCUCCUCAGUCCCUCCACCCCGUCUCAGGUCAGCUCUUUUCCACCCUGUUACCAGUUCUCUUCACCGUUUUGGUUGUGGUCCUGUUGGUGGUGGUGGCGGGAAUACUUUGGAAACACAGAGUGUUCCACCGUCUAAUUGAACAUUUUUCCUCUGAGACCACCAGACCAGAACCAGAGCCAGUCUAUGAACAUGUUGGUGCGGCUGAUCCAGACAUGUCUGCAUGUACCAGAGUUUGUCAGGAGAGAAAUGUUAGGGGUGCAAGCAAUGUGACAUAUGCUGUUGUCACAGUGGCGACGAAGAAGAGAGGUAAUUUAUUAACAUUUCCUUUGUGCUUAUUAGCUCAUUAGCUUCGGUUUAUUGAUCAUAUUUUUUAUUUUUCCUGUUCCUCAUACAAAGAAAAUCAUAAAAGCAAAUAUGAGAAUGAGAGAAAGUUGUGCAUCAUCUGCAAAACACAAAAACGCUGCAGCGACAGUUU
rnacentral:lncRNA from 1 species